UACGUAGGGGCCUAGCGUUGUCCGGAUUUAUUGGGCGUAAAGAGCUCGUAGGCGGUUCGGCAAGUCGGAUGUGAAAUCUCCACGCUCAACGUGGAGGGGCCAUUCGAAACUGCCGUGACUCGAGUCCGGUAGGGGAGUGUGGAAUUCCCGGUGUAGCGGUGAAAUGCGCAGAUAUCGGGAGGAACACCGAUGGCGAAGGCAGCUGCCUGGCCUAACACUGACGCUGAGGUGCGAAAGCGUGGGGAGCGAACGGG
rnacentral:rRNA from 1 species